UACGGAGGGGGCUAGCGUUGUUCGGAAUUACUGGGCGUAAAGCGGGUGUAGGCGGAUCUCUAAGUCGGGGGUGAAAGCCCAGGGCUCAACCCUGGAAUUGCCUUCGAUACUGGAGAUCUUGAGUGUGGGAGAGAUGAGCGGAAUUCCGAGUGUAGAGGUGAAAUUCGUAGAUAUUCGGAGGAACACCAGAGGCGAAGGCGGCUCACUGGACCAUUACUGACGCUGAGACCCGAAAGCGUGGGGAGCAAACAGG
rnacentral:rRNA from 1 species